rfam:Paenibacillus sp. TI45-13ar contig00048, whole genome shotgun sequence.
ACAUUUGAAUAUGUUUAACCGUAGACAGUAGGUGCUGUAACAGGCUUAAUUUCCUACCGAGGUGUUAUGAUAGAAUACCGGAUACUUGAGAGCGCAGAUUAGUCUGCGUCUCGGUUCCGCUCAAUCAAGCCUUCGUCAUUCUGCGGGGGCUUUUUUUAAUGUCCGU